rnacentral:rRNA from 1 species
GUGCCAGCAGCCGCGGUAAUACGAACUGUGCAAACGUUAUUCGGAAUCACUGGGCUUACAGGGUGCGUAGGCGGCAUUUUAAGUCAGGUGUGAAAUCCCCCGGCUCAACCGGGGAACUGCGCCUGAGACUGGAUUGCUCGAGUGAGGCAGGGGUGUACGGAACUUCCGGUGGAGCGGUGAAAUGUGUAGAUAUCGGAAGGAACGCCAGCAGCGAAAGCGGUACACUGGGCCUUGUCUGACGCUGAGGCACGAAAGCCAGGGUAGCGAACGGGAUUAGAUACCCCCGUAGUCC